GUUCAAACAUAAAGUUAGGAUACAGUUCACUCUUAUGGAAGCCACUUUGGGCCAAACUUUACCACUCAAAUACCGAGACAAGUUUAGGACAAACAUCGGAUUACCAGAAGACAGAAAAACAGAAAACCAGGGCCCGCUCAUAAGACCCUGGCUCCCCGCAGUCCCGAGGUCUCAACCCCCUCAUCCUUCCACCUCCAAUUCAGCACAAAACAAGCACAGUGGGGAGGGGGCUACAUUACAGAGAACUCAGUGUGUGAGGUAUACACUGACACCCCGACACUCACUCCGGUACAGAAGCACCCGUGCAUGUCAUGACUCUCACACCAUAGCAGUGCGGUAAAAUGCAGGCGUAGCCUUUUGACCCGGCCUUGACUGCACCUCUGCCGUGACCCUCACAAGAGGAGCACCUGGACCGCACAGGGAGACCACAGAAGCGCUCG
rnacentral:lncRNA from 1 species